UAUUACCUUGUGAAAGUCCUUUUCCUGGCUCAUCCUGGCUCAAAAAGCACCCCCACUGAGCACCUUGCGACCCCCACUCCUGCCCGCCAGAGAACAAACCCCCUUUGAUUGUAAUUUUCCUUUACCUAACCAAAUCCUAUAAAACAGCCCCACCCUUAUCUCCCUUCGCUCACUCUCUUUUUGGACUCAGCCUGCCUGCACCCAGGUGAAAUAAACAGCCAUGUUGCUCACACAAAGCCUGUUUGGUGGUCUCUUCACACGGACGCGCAUGAAAUUUGGUGCCAUGACUCGGAUCGGGGGACCUCCCUUGGGAGAUCAAUCCCCUGUCCUCCUGUUCUACGCUCUGUGAGAAAGAUCCACCUACGACCUCAGGUCCUCAGACCGACCAGCCCAAGGAAUAUCUCACCAAUUUUAAAUCCGGCAUUACACCUAAAAGUAAUUUGAGCACCUUGAGCUUAGAGCCUACCUUGGCUAAUGUGAAACACUCCAGCUGUGCUAAGAUGGUCCUCAAUAGUCAACAAGCACUUCUGAAAGUCUGGUAGGUGUGCGCAUUUGAAUGAAUCCUCAGUCUUCUCUGAUUCUGUCUGGAAGGAUUCAUUAAAGUUCUUUCUCAUGUCUUGAUUAAUUGCCCUUCAAGGAUAAAUUUUCAUGACAUAUAGAAGCCGUUUUUAUCUACAGCAUCAAUUUUUCUGCUAUAAAUGAGCAAAAUGAGUGUCCCCUCUCUGGACAUACCUGGUUAUGCAAGAACUUAACAUCCCCUGAUGCUUUGUGAAAAGAACAUGUAAGAUCUUUUGCCCAUGUAAAAUGGAAUCCAUCUAUUAAAAUUGUACCUUGAAUUGCUAAGUUUGAAAAGAUCAUACAAUAUCUCAUCUUUGGUUUUUGAACUGCAGAAAGUUAAUCUGAAAUAGUUCAAUUUGGGUAGUAGAAUUUCCAAAAGCUGCCCAAAAGACAAAAUCUAUUUGAAAAAAGAAAAAAAAAACCCAGCAAAGUGGGAACAGGUUAAGUUGUCUUUCCUUUCCUUUGGUCAGUAUCAUUCAGUUUGGAUUAUAAUCCAUGAUUUCUAAAAUAUAACCCACUUCAUAUGCCCUUAAAGACUAAGACCUCUAUUAAAAGCAGAGCAUUUCUUGUCAUUCUUUCCAUUGUAUUGACCACUGAGCGAUUCAUUAACAAUUGAUCUGCAUCUCCUUAAAGAAAAAAAAAACCAGGUCAAUAGGAAGUCAAUCUGUUGAGAAGGAAUAGAGGAAAUAUGUGAUGAAGCAAGGCACAUCUGUAAUAAAACUGGAGGGAUGUAGGCAAUGGAGAGAACACUGACAUGGCCCCUACAAAAAUCCAAUUUCUGAAGUCAGACAAACAGACAACUAGAGUUUAACACAGACAAACCUUUAUGCUAGAAAAGUUUAUUUGCCACCUACUCCUGAUUUAGCCAUUGUGAUUUCUCUUUUGCAUAGUGUUUUGAAUGGAAAUUCACAGGUUACAAUGUUAAGAAGUUACUAAAGAACAAUUGAGGACAACAUAACUGAAAAUGGGGUGGUAAAAAGAACUGUUAAACUAUUUCUUUAAGCCUUAGUAAACCAUUUCCCACAAUUAUUCUAAAUUCAAAUUGGUCGCUGAUGACAAAUAAGCAAUACUUUCAAACAAGUUUUGUUCUCCUGUCUAAAACUCUAUUUAACAUUUGAGAUAGUCAUUAGCUAAAAUAGAUUCUCUGACUCAAGGCAACAUUACCUUCUGCUAGCCUUGGCAUUAGAGUGGUUGGAAGAAGGAGGCUUCAUGUUCUGCAGUUGUCAGAAGAAAACAAACCACUUAAAUUUACAACAAGUUACCAGCUAGAAUCUGUUGUAAUAAUCACAGUCUUUUGUGAAAAUCAAUGAAGUGCAUGGCAUUUUAAUUCACUAUCUGUGAUCCUCAAGGCAACCAAGCAAGUUGGUAUUAUGAUUACUCUGUCUUAGAUAGAAACCAAGGUUCAAAGAAGUUAUAUGUGCCCCACAUCGAAUAGCUCAUAAAUCCUAAAGUUAAUAUUGGAAGUCAAGUCUUACUGUUUCAAAACUCAUGCUCAAUCUACUGCUAACCUGUAGUUGUCUAGCUUUAACUUAUAAUAUACAAUAAAACCUUACCUGGAACUCUAAUAAGUAAACCGGAUAAAAUAAAAGAGGCUCUGGUUGAAUUGGGAGGAGAAAGCCUGGAGCUUGCCUACUUAGAUUCCUUCCCCUUUUCCCAACCCUCUCUGUAGCAGCCCCCAGUGCUCUGCUCUGUAGCACUGGGAGCUGCUACAGAGAGGCUCUGUAGGAAACCCUAUAGUUGGCCUUCUGUUGGGGCUCUGAGGAGCCCCUGUGUUAUGCCUUCAAUCCCAGCAACAUCUUGCUCCAUAAACACAAGCACCUGUAUGCAUAUCAGGGGUCAGUCACAAACUCGGAUGCUUACAGGUGCCCCAAACACAAUCCUGCUGCACAUUUGGAGUGAUGGAAGUUUCUUUUCAUUCCCUAGCCAUGAGUUUUAAAGUUAUUGGUCUCUCAACCAAUGGGGUUUUUUUAAUUGAAUUUUAAUUUCUGAAUCCAAAUUCCAGACUCAGAAUAUUGAGGAAUGAUAUUAAUAGAAGGCCAUGGAAACAUACGAUAGUCAAUAAAAAGAGAAAGAUCUCAUUUAAUAAACAUGGUACAUAACCUAUAAACUUGACAUUCUGCAUUUUUGUAUACGGCAAACCCAUAUAUGGUAUAUGUGCUAUGUGUAUUUCAAAGUAUAGUAUGCAUGUACCCAAACGUAAAAAGUCAAAUUAAAUUCCUCUAAUAUUUCUGUAUGUAUUAAAUAUGAUUUUUUGUAAAAAAAAAAAAAAAAAGAAAGAAACUAUCUGCUAAGAAAUUCUCCCCUGACAAUGCUACUCAGGGCAGAAUGAUGUUAUUUUAAAUUCUUCUCUCAUUAAAAGAAAAAAGAGUUUGCUUCUUCAGAGUUUGUGUAUUUAUACCAGAGCUUAACUGGCAUUUUCAUUGUGGUGUUUAUGAAUCGUGAUGCAGUUCCACUGCAGCUCCUGACACACUCAUUAAUUUGUUCCCAGCGGCAGUUCAUUACCAACAUCACAAGCAAAACAUGCGCUCUCCCUGGGCAUUGAAGGUCCACCGGAAAUUAAGCAGACAGGGCUGCAAAGCACCUCAGAGUGAAGCCAGCCAGCUUCAUCUGCCACAGCAGGCUGGAGGCAAGCACAAGGAGGCGGCAGGAAUGAAAGGCUUCAGCGCCUUCCCUGGUGUCUCUGUGCCUUCUGAGUUUUCAGCUGACAUGGAGCAGUGAUUCCCUGAAAAGGAUGGGAUCUUGCUCCCUCAAAGAUCAGCCUUCUUUGAUGAGCCUGUUCCAGGUGGAGUGGAGCAACCACUUCAGCUUUUUAGUGCAGAGAAGACUUAGGAACUUUCAUUUUCCUUGACUGGGGUUCUGCUUUCUGCACUGACCCUUCCUGGUCAGUGGGGAACUCGGAGCUCUGAGUUGGAGCACCUUACCAAAAUCUUCUCUGAGUGGGGUUAAGUAAGCCAGCAGACUCUGCAAAACAGAGCCUUGCUGAAUUUAGCUUUCCAGAAAGCCCUAUUUUAAGGGAACUCAGUAUUUUAGCAAGAUGCUGGAUUAGGGGGAGAAAAGUAGUCUGUUAAUUCUUUGUUGUUGUCAGCAGCCUUGCAGGUUCCUGGACCAUGACACAUCAGCACAGUCCUAAGUAACAGAAGACUCAGGUCCUCACCAUGACCUCAAACAGCAUGAUCUCUGUGAAUCUCAGUACAUCAUUCUGAGCUUCACUUUCCUUGUUCACACCAUAUAGCUAUUUAUAUCUGCUCCACAUGAUGGGCAAGGUCACUGGGAAGUGUAGAUUAUAUAAGGCAUGGGAAUGGCUUCACAGGUUCAUGUGGGACAUCACAUGGUGAGGCACAGAGAUCAGAAGGUUUGGGUUCAAAUCAGCUCUGCCGAGCUGGAGAAACCAUGUUAGUACUUGACCCUGGUGUUUCAAACUCAAAAUCAGAAUAAGAUUAGGGAUAGGAAAAAGACCACACGAGAUACUUCUGAGUUUUAAAUGAUUUAUUUGAAUGAGGUCAACUUUCGUUCACUUCUAAAGGAAGAUAGAAAUGUGAGUUUUGUAAUUACCCUAGAGAACUGGGGGAGCAAGACCCUACUGAACAAGCCUUCUCCAGAGCUCACCCCAAAGUCUGGAGUGCAAAAUGUCCACCUCUUUAUGAUUAAUGAAGCCUCUGGAUAUAGAUCAGAAGACUAGAAAUGUCUGUGAAAGGAGCUCUUCCAGGGGCUCAGCCAAAACCAGGAGAAUUGCCCUCGACUCCUCUCUUUCCUUGUUUCUAAGCCAUCAGCAAUUUUGCUCAGCUCCAUCGUCAGGAAGUCCCAAAUCAGACCACUGCUCCCUGACUCCACAGCUUCCGUCCUGGUCCAGGCUCCAUAAUCUCCCCCUGAACCUCUGAAAGAGCCUCUUAAGCAGACUCCUGCUGCUCCCCACCCUUGCUUCUCUUGUCUGUUUCUUCAAGCAGCCAAAGGGAUCCCUGUUAAAAUGUUAAGUGCAAUCUCAUCAGCCUCUGUUCAAAACCCUCAGAUGGCUUUAAGCAGAGUAAAAUCCAUAAUUCUCACCACAGCCAGGGGGAUCUUGGUGACCUCAUUCCUCCAUGAGGGUAUCUCCUUCCACUCUCCCCAUCCCGUUUUCUGUUCCAGAUGCACUGACCAUCUAGUCCUACCUGGGAACAUGAACACCAGGAAUGCUGCUGCCUGGGAAGGCUUUCACUUUCUGUUCUUUCUGCCUGAAACACUCCUUCCUGGGAAUCCACAUUAAUCCAUAUUCUUUCUUUGCUAGAGUCUGACUGAAAUAUCAUCUGUGCAGAGAGGCCUAUCUUACCACCCUAUUUUAAAUAAUACAUGUAUGUGUACGCACACCCAUGUGUAUGCACUCUCCAUCUCCUUACUUGCUUUAUUUUUCUUUAUUCACUCAUCAUCUUCUUCUAUAUAUCCAUUCAUUUACUCUUCUAUCGUCUGUUUUAUACUCCUGCCCUUGAUUAGAAUAUAAAUUUCCUAAGAGUACAGACUUGGUCUGUUUGAUUCACUCUUCCAGUGCCCAAAAUAGUGUCUGACACAUAUCAAUUAUUUAAUAAUUAUUUGCAGAUAUGACAGCAUGAAUGAAUUAGAUCAGAUAAUCUAAGAACUGUUUUGCAGUCAUCACAGGGCACUGUAAUAAAGCCAUUAGAAAAAUAAUUAAUUGAGCUUGAUGAUGUAGCAGGUAGUCAUGACUGUAGCUGGCAGGUCCCAGAAGAUAGUCACAUUAACUAUGUUGUCAUGAGAACAAGCCUAGGUUGUAAGGCUAAAUCUUCUAUGAUGUUGUAGAGAGGCAACCUCCCCCACAGCAGGAAAAGCCACCCCCUUAAUAUUCAUUAUGAAGCAAAGAGACUAAGUGAAUAAUUUAUAUGCUACCUGUGUUCUCCUCCAUGCUAGCCCUGAUAUAUUUUCAAUAUUCCAUUCCUCUUGCUCCCUCAGCUCUGUUUCAGGCAGCAAUUUCAUGCCACGCAGAAUAUGAAUCUAACAGGUGAAUUUCCAUCCAGGGUCCAAUUCUCUUACUACUGAUGUGGAGAAAACCAUAAACAAAGCCACAGUAAAGCCUCCUUUUUGAGGCUGAGUAAAGCCAGAUGAAAGGCAAGAGAGACUCAGCAAAACAUAUUUAGGAGAUGGGAAAAUAAAUAAAUUCCUUUAAAAGUUGCAUAAUGCUCAAUAGCAUGUAUCCACUGUUAUGUAUUCAAUCUUUACCUUGUUGAUGCAUUUUCCAGCUUACUUUUCAUUUUCUUCCUCGGCAAAGCUGCAAUAAACAUUCUCCUAUAUA